rnacentral:rRNA from 1 species
AAGCGAAAGUGAUAAGUAUCCCACCUGGGGAGUACGCACGCAAGUGUGAAACUCAAAGGAAUUGACGGGGGCCCGCACAAGCGGUGGAGCAUGUGGUUUAAUUCGAUGAUACGCGAGGAACCUUACCAAGGCUUAAAUGUAGUUUGACCGAUUUGGAAACAGAUCUUUCGCAAGACAAAUUACAAGGUGCUGCAUGGUUGUCGUCAGCUCGUGCCGUGAGGUGUCAGGUUAAGUCCUAUAACGAGCGCAACCCCUGUUGUUAGUUGCCAGCGAGUGAUGUCGGGAACUCUAACAAGACUGCCAGUGUAAACUGUGAGGAAGGUGGGGAUGACGUCAAAUCAUCACGGCCCUUACGCCUUGGGCCACACACGUGCUACAAUGGACGGUACGGAGAGCAGCCACUGGGUGACCAGGAGCGAAUCUACAAAACCGUUCUCAGUUCGGAUCGGAGUCUGCAACUUGACUCCGUGAAGCUGGAAUCGCUAGUAAUCGGAUAUCAGCCAUGAUCCGGUGAAUA